GCCUGCGUGGCUCAGUUGGUUAAGCGUCUGACUUCGGGUCAGGUCAUGAUCUCGCAGUUUGUGGGUUCAAGCUCCACAUCAGGCU
rnacentral:tRNA from 1 species